rnacentral:tRNA from 4 species
CGAGGUGUGGCGCAGUUGGUAGCGCGCUUGCUUUGGGAGCAAGAAGCCGCAGGUUCAAGUCCUGUCACCUCGACCA